CCUUCGAUAGCUCAGUUGGUAGAGCGGUGGACUGUAGAGUUUGAGAGGUUUCGAGCAGUAAUCCAUAGGUCGCUGGUUCAAAUCCGGCUCGAAGGA
rnacentral:tRNA from 2 species